GUGGUUGGAUUGGAUGGUUGGGCUCACUCCUGCAUCGUGAUGUUAACAAAAGAGGUUUUACUUACCACGGACAGUGCUGACAGAUGAAGCUCAUACCAGCAUCGGUAUGUGUUUAAGUGUUUCCUGAGAUGCAGUUUCCUUCAGGUGUCAAUACCAUCUCUAGUUGGUCCCUGAAAAAGAGAGAGAAAAAAGAAACUUCUGAAAUGUAGAAGUUUAACAACCUAUGACUUCACAUGUUCUCAAG